CUUCAGCACAUCCGCCUGACCCGCCGCUGUUUACAAAUCAGCAGACCGAGCAGCGACACAGCAGAAUGGGGAGUCCUGCGUGAUCUGAACAGACAAAUCCUCUUCUGAGUUUUGGCUGAGGAGAAUUGCAAGGCUGUGACAGUCCUGCUGGGUUGCGGUCAUGCAGCACCCAAACUUCGAGACCCGCCACCCUCUCCAGACAGACGAGCAGCAGGAGACCGGCUUCGACCCGCUCCACAACUUUAACAAGAACCACAGCAGAGGAUCCCUUGACAGCAGCUCAUACUCACAGUCUCAGUCUACCUUCUUGUCAUACAGGAAAGAAUGGGACGACCUGUUCCUCAACAGUAAUUACCUUGCCAGGAUCCGGCAGGCAGGCAUCAACGGUCGACUGAGGAGCAGCCGCUUCCGCAGCGUGUGCUGGAAGUUAUAUCUGGAGGCUCUUCCAGAGGACAAGAAUCAGUGGAUCAACAAGACCAAGGAGCUCCGAGCCCAGUAUGAGAAGAUCAAAGAGAUGCACAUCACCAACCCUCGGAAGGCCGCCGGCCAACAGGACCUGGUGGUCAACAACCCGCUCUCCCAGGAUGAGGGGAGUCUGUGGAACAAGUUCUUCCAGGACAAGGAGCUGCGCGGGAUGAUCAGACAGGACGUGAUGAGAACGUUCCCGGAAAUGCGUUACUUCCAGGAAGAAGAUGUGAGGACCAAGCUGACGGACAUCCUCUUCUGUUAUGCCAGAGAGAACGAACAGUUACUGUAUAAACAGGGAAUGCACGAGUUGCUGGCCCCCAUAGUGUUCGUGCUGCACUGUGACCAUCAGGCCUUUCAGCACGCCAGCGAGACGGCAAACCCCAGUGAGGAGAUGAAGUGUCUGCUGAACCCAGUGUACCAUGAACACGAUGCCUAUGCCAUGUUCUCUCAGCUGAUGGAGACAGCAGAGCCUUGGUUCUCCAGCUUCGAGAGGGAAGUCAGAAAGGGGAAGGAGGAGAUGCUGACCAGCAUCCCGUUCGCUCGGCCCCAGGACACGGGGCCCUCUGUUGCCAUAGUGACCAAAGUCAACCGCAUCCAAGACCAGCUGGUGAAGAAGCACGAUGUGGAGCUGCACAUGCAUCUCAACCGGCUGGAGAUCGCCCCGCAAAUCUACGGCAUCCGGUGGGUGCGUCUACUUUUCGGCCGAGAGUUCCCUCUCCAGGACCUGCUGGUGGUGUGGGACGCCCUGUUUGCAGACAGCAUCACUCUGGACCUGGUUGACUACAUCUUCGUGGCCAUGCUGCUGUACAUCCGAGACGCACUGAUUGCGAGUAAUUUCCAGACCUGCCUGGGCCUGCUAAUGCAUUACCCUCCUAUAGGAGACAUCCACGCUCUGCUACACAAGGCUCUGUUCCUCCGAGAUCCCAAGAACAACCCUCGUCCCGUCAACUACCAGUUUCAGCAGAACCUGGACUACUACAAGACCAGGGGAGCCGACUUGGUGAACAAGACCCGUGCCAGUGCCAAAACAGCACCACUCAACAUCAACAAGGUCUCCAGCAGCUUGCUCAACUUUGGCAGGAAGCUCAUCGCCCCGGCUAUGUCGGGGGGGUCCAGCGGCAUCUCGCCGAUCAACAGCGAGGUGCAGUCCUCGUCCUCGCCCGCCCCGGUGGCCCCCUCACACCCGCUGGCCGAGCCCGCACCGAGCCAAACCCCCCUGCAGACCCAGAGCCAUGUCCAGUCCCAGCACUACCGCCUGCUCAAGUCCGAGAGCAUGCCUGUUCACCUCAGCAAAGAUGUAGUUUCAGGCGGAGUUUCACAGGUCUCUCUCGCUGCCCAGACUCACACUGACACACAAGGCCAAAGCUCCAGGACAGUAAGCUCUUCCCCCAGCACUGAAAGCCUCUCAGGUGGGUGUGGCCUGUCCACAGCCUCCCCACCCCUUCCCCCCUCCAGAGGAAGUGAUGUCAGCACUUCGUCCCCACCCCUGUCUGCCACCAAGAAGGAGUCCUUCUUCAACAUCACUCGCUCUCGCUCCCACAGCAAGACCAUGGGCAAGAAAGAGACGGAGGAAGACUUGGAGGCCCAGGUAUCCUUCCUGCAGGGCCAGAUCAAUGACCUGGAAGCCAUGAGCAAGUACUGUGCCAAGAUGAUGAACACACAUAUCUGUAAGAUUCAGGAGGUGAUUCUUCAGGAACACUUGGAGAAAGAGGAUGAGGUGCUGGUGUCGCUGGCCGGACUCAAACAGAUCAAGGACAUCCUGAAGGGGGCGCUGCGCUUCAACCAGAGCCAGCUGGAGGCCGAGGAGAAUGAGGAGAUCACCAUCGCAGACGACCACUACACCUCCAUGGCAGCAACAGCAGCCACGGCGACCGCGCCGCAUGCCAGCAGUCACCACGACGACCACCAGCGGCAUGGCAACAGCCAGCGGAACCGAGACUCUGACCACGACGGGAGCGUGAGCAUGGACGAGAAGGAGGAGGAGGAGCAGGCGCUGACUCCUCCAGAGCAGCAGGUGGCAUCUUCUUUGGGCUCAGAGGGGAAGAACUGGGAUGACUACAUCAUGGUGUCCCAGGACGAAGACCUGCAGGCCCCCGAGGGAGGCAGAGGAGGGGGUGGAGCUGAGCGCACCCCUCCCAUCAGACGAGGGCGCGGCUCGGUGCGGAUGGAGCCAGAGGGAGCGGCGGGGACCUUCCACGACCCCCUGAUGGUGGGCACCGCUUCGGGCUCAUCCAGCCCAGACGAGGGCUCCACCCACAGUAAAGACUCUGACUUCACCAUUGUCAACCCGGGCGACCUGUGAGCCAGCCGGUUAAACUCCGCUCCUCCGACGCCUGAAUCAGGGAAACCUGGACCUGGAAUCGGACGGAAGCGGGUGGGGUUGGGAUCUCGGGUCCUCGGCGGAGCACCACCGGAGCUGCCGCUGGGUAAAAACUUGCACAUGUGAACUGUGAUGUGGCUGGCUCGCUGAGGAAGCCGGCCAGUCACCGAUACCGUAUACUCUGUCUUUCAAUCUGUCAUCUGUGCCACUUCAGUCCUGUCUAACUCGAUGCUGUAUACUCUCUCCUCUACCCAAUGCCUGUCCUCUCAUCAUGCUUGGGACUUCAACGGUUACCAUCCAACCUCGGCUCCCACUCAUCAUGAUUUUUAACUGCAGUGCACUGCUCUGCCAAGAGAGGGUGCCAUUGAACUGCUUACUUUGUCACUACAUGAUUGCUCUCGAGAGUUGGACCUCAAACUGCAUUUACUGACUGGGGAGGACGCUCUCCUCUCCCCAAAGCUCACUGUACUGAUUGGAGUUUAGUACUCUGUUUCUCUGAAAUGUGGAGAUCUGGCCAUACCUCUGUCUAAUAGGUGUGUGUGGGUGUGUGUGUGUGUGUGUGUGUGUGCAGGCAAUGGGUUAGGGGCGGAGGCUGACUAAUAUCAGAUGACUCAAGAAGCCAAACAGUCGAGGUAAACAAACCUCUGCCCUGCCAAAUAUCACAGAAAUGAUAUAAGAUUCUUUUUUUUUCUUUUUUUUUGGUCAGUUAUUACGCCUUUUGCCCAUAACCGGGGCUACAGAUUUAGGAGACUGAGGGGGCGAUCAACAGCAGGAGCUGUGCCAACCUAAACCCCCUCCAUCCAAAAGAUACAGAUCAAGUGGGUCAGUAAAUACGUGUUGUUGAUUGGGCAGAUCUCGAUGCAAGACGGGAUUGUAAAAUAAAUGCUGAUGGUGGAGAGGAGAGGAGAGGAGAGGAGAGGAGAGGAGAGGAGAGGAGAGGAGGGGAGUUUAUGAGUAAAGCAGUCACUGCAGUGUGGAUAACAGCUCUGUUGGAGAGGCUGUGUGGGAGUUGUCACGAAUGGACUGGGAAUAUGGGCAUGGGCUGGUUUCUACUCAUUAUACACACACCGUAACACACACUCUGCAGAGAAGCAUCGCUCUCACACACACACACACACACACACAC